UACGUAGGGGGCUAGCGUUGUCCGGAAUCAUUGGGCGUAAAGAGCGCGUAGGCGGCCAGAUAAGUCCGGUGUGAAAGUCACAGGCUCAACCUGUGAAUGCCGCUGGAAACUGUCUGGCUAGAGUCCGGAAGGGGCGAGUGGAAUUCCUGGUGUAGCGGUGAAAUGCGCAGAUAUCAGGAGGAACACCAAUGGCGAAGGCGGGUCUCUGGACAGUUCCUGACGCUGAGGCACGAAGGUCAGGGGAGCAAACCGG
rnacentral:rRNA from 1 species